rnacentral:lncRNA from 1 species
UUUUUAUUAUUUAUAACUUCCAAUUUACAACAUAAUAUACACAAAUAUAAUAGCAAUAUAUAAUAUAUAAAUCUAUAGAUAUUAUCUAAUCAAUACAUCUUUCUAUUAGGAAGCAAAUUUUUUUUUUUUUUAAAUAUACAAAUAUAAGAUAAAGAGUAAAGCAGUUUGAACACCGGAGAGAGAGAGAGAGAGAGAGAGAUAGAAAGA